GUGCUCGUUUUGGCAGCACAUACACUAAAUUGGAACAAUACAGAGCAGAUUAGCAUGGCCCCUAUGCAAGGAUGACAUACAAAUUUGUGAAGUGUUCCAUAUUUUU